ACUCAAAUGAAUUGACGGGGGCCCGCACAAGCGGCGGAGCAUGUGGAUUAAUUCGAUGCAACGCGAAGAACCUUACCAAGGCUUGACAUAUACCGGAAACGUAUAGAGAUAUGCGCCCCGCAAGGUCGGUAUACAGGUGGUGCAUGGUUGUCGUCAGCUCGUGUCGUGAGAUGUUGGGUUAAGUCCCGCAACGAGCGCAACCCUCGUUCUAUGUUGCCAGCGCGUAAUGGCGGGGACUCAUAGGAGACUGCCGGGGUCAACUCGGAGGAAGGUGGGGAUGACGUCAAAUCAUCAUGCCCCUUAUGUCUUGGGCUUCACACAUGCUACAAUGGCCGGUACAAAGGGCUGCAAAACCGCAAGGUUGAGCGAAUCCCAUAAAGCCGGUCUCAGUUCGGAUUGGGGUCUGCAACUCGACCCCAUGAAGUCGGAGUCGCUAGUAAUCGCAGAUCAGCAACGCUGCGGUGAAUACGUUCCCGGGCCUUGUACACACCGCCCGU
rnacentral:rRNA from 1 species